UGCCAGCAUCUGGAAUGUUGCUAGUAGAUGAACUCUUAGCAACAGUGCUCAGUGUUGAAGUUCCAGCACUGGUGGAGCAUGAUGCGUCUACCAACCCCAGUUCAUCUGGUAACUGGGUGACACUUGCAUCAGUGGCUAUGGGGAAGUUCAGGGUGUUGUCAGAGGACUUAGUUGUCUGAGACUCUUGGAAGCUGUUAACUAAUGGUUGAUCAACAGUUUGCCCAUGGUUAAACUGAGAAGGAAGCGCACCUUCUGCAUGUUGCUGCAAUGGCAUUGAUACAGAAACAGAUUGAAGAGGUGAUGGAGGAACAUGUGACCAUCGAGCUUGG
rnacentral:misc_RNA from 1 species